rnacentral:misc_RNA from 1 species
GAUGAAGAACGUAGCGAAAUGCGAUAAGUAAUGUGAAUUGCAGAAUUCAGUGAAUCAUCGAAUCUUUGAACGCACCUUGCGCUCCUUGGUAUUCCGAGGAGCAUGCCUGUUUGAGUGUCAUUAAUAUAUCAACCUCUUCAGCUUAUGCUUGUUGAGUGUUGGAUGGUGGGGGUUUGCUGGUGUCUUAUGAAGUCAGCUCCUCUGAAAUGCAUUAGCGGAACAAUUUGUUGACCGUUCAUUGGUGUGAUAAAAAUAUCUACGCUAUUGACGUCAGUCAGUUCAGCUUCUAACAGUCCAUUGACUUGGACAAAUUUUUCAUUAAUGUGACCUCAAAUCAGGUAGGACUACCCGCUGAACUUAAGCAUAUCAAUAAGCCGGAGGA